GCGCCCUCCGGCCGAGGGGCGGCGCCGCGGCCGCCACCGCCCCGUGUCUAUGGUGAGGGGCCAUGGCGGAGCGGCUGUGGGGCGCUGAGGCGGGCGGCGCCGUGUACCGCUCCCGCGACCCCGUGCGCAAUCUGCGCCUCCGGGUCCGCAUCCAGCGGGUCACGGCCGCCGGGCCCCUCCCGGCUCAGGCCUCGCCGCCGCCGCCGCCGCUCUCCACACCGCGCGGCCCCGAGCUCCUGGCGCUGGCCGCCCGCGCCUCGCCAGAUGCCCGGCGGCCCCCGGACGAGGAAGAGGAGGCAGAGGUGGGGUGGCAGGAGAAGCUCUUCAGCCAGUUUGAGGUAGAUCUUUAUCAAAAUGAGUCAGCCUGUCAAACUCACCUGGACCGGCAGUACCACAAGGAGAUCCUGAAACUGGAGAAGGCUGGGGGUCGGAAGAACUAUCGCAUCUUCACCUACACUGAUCAUGACCGAUUCACCAACCUAGAGGAGCACUGCCAGAAGGUAACUGACUCAGAUCAUGAGGUGCCGUCAUAUCUGGCAGAGAGGAUGGCCAAUGUGAGGAGGAGAAGACAAGACCGUAAACCAAUAGAGGCGAAUUCUCUUAAGUCAAAAAUAAUCACCUGGGAGCCCUCAGAAGAAUUUAUAAAGAACAAUCAUGUGAUUAACACUCCUGUUCAGACUAUGUACGUCAUGGGGGACUUGGGACCUUAUGGGAAGCUUGGUCAAAGGGAAUAUGAACGUGUUCUUUGUACAAUCAAGGUGGAUGGCAGUGGGGUGAUCACAGUGAAGCCUGACUUUACUGGCACCAAAGGAGCCUACUGGAUUGAGCUGGAUAGACAGAAGCGAGAGCUGUGGAAAUACACCAUUGAGAAUGCAUCCAUCCAAGUGCAGCAAGAGGAGGAGGAACGUGAGCAGCGUGUGUUCAGAGAUCUGUACAGUCGACACAAGGAGUACCUCAGUGGUCUUGUAGGCUCAGAAUUUGAGAUGACUCUUCCUGGUGCAUUGCGUCUUUUUGUGAAUGGAGAAGUAGUUUCAGCUCAAGGCUAUGAGUAUGACAACCUCUAUGUUCAUUUCUUCCUGGAGCUGCCUGACCACUGGUCAAGCCCCGCAUUCCAGCAGCUAUCAGGAGUGACACAGACCUGUGCCACCAAGACAGAGGAUUGGGAUAACGUGGCGUACUUCUGCUACCCCUUCACUUUGGAGAUGUUUUUCUCCCAAGAAAAUGAAUCAGAAGACUGUCUCCCUCAAUGGCCUGUUCUCUACUUUGAAGUUCUGUCCCUUGAUUUCUGGCAGAGAUACCGUGUUGAAGGGUAUGGUUCAUUGGUGCUGCCAGCAUCUCCAGGUCUCCAUAUACUCACCAUCCCUACCUGGCGCCCUGUGGAACUGGGGACUGUUGCUGAACUGAGGAGAUUUUUCAUUGGUGGAUCUCCUGAGUUAGAGGAUAUGACCUAUGUCAGGAUACCAGCAACCUUCAAGGUCCUCUCACUGGGCACCAGAGAGAAGAGAUCAGUGCCUGCCCCUCCGCUCCCCCUGGCCUUUCAUCAUGUCUGUUGCCCUUCUUUGGGACCUCUCUGAGAGGCUGAUGUCCUUCUUCUCUCAUGGCUCCCAAGGUAGCCCACAGUCCUCAAGGUGAGGCUGCACCAGUGCAGAGUGGAGCAGGACAAGCACUCCCCUUGACCGGCUAACUCUGCUGUGCUUACUGCAGCCCAGGAUACACUUGGUCCUUUUGGCUGCUAGGGCACACUGCUGACUCAGGUUCCACUUGUUGUUGACCAUAACCCCCAGAUCCCUUUGCAUAGGGCUGAUCUCCAGCCUCUCAUUCACAGGCUGUACUUAUAUCCAUGGCUGCCCCAUCCCAGGUACAGAAUCUGGUGUCUCUUGACUUCAGAUGUCUGUGGACAGUUUAGACUGGACUUGAACAGAUACUGUUGUGGUCAUGUCCCUCUGACUAAAUAAAUGGAUCCCCUUUGAUACUUGUGAGUAAGACAAGAAUGGGCAAACCCUGAGAUAGAGCUCUCUGCCUUUUGAGGUGUGUGUAACCUAGAGAAGUGGUUGUAUGUGUUCCAAAAUCUUGCCUUGCCCCUGCUUGUACUGUCCUUGUCUGAAAAUUGUCUGUCAGGUCACCAUUUUUUUUUAAUCAAGUAUGAACAUUGUCAUGUGUUUUUGUGAGGAACAUGGGCUAUACUGCACUUGGAAGUGAGUUGCCUGCAGUGAUAAGCUGAUGGGUGUGAGGCAGGCAGAAGUUUCACAUUAAGAAAGUUGCAGUGGUGCUUGCUGGUGUAAUGAGCAAGUUAGUAUUAAGUGGCUUUGAGUGAGAAUAAGCAGUUGAAACCUUCCUUCAGCACUGCACUAUCAACUUCCUAGUGUUUAUGUCCUGCUCUCAGCAAAGCCUGGUACUAUCUGCCCUUCUCUCCUACCUCACUUUCUGUGUGAAGCGGGACUAGAAGAGACUCUCUGCCUGCAAGAGUGCUUGCUUCUGGGAGAGCGUCUGAGCCGCUUUGGUUUUCACACAGAGACAACAGGGAGUGUCACGUUCCGGCUUUACUGCCUGCAGCAAUCCAAAGCCUUUCUGGAGACCAGUGCCUCGAGGCAUCGCAUGCAGAGUGUACUAGACCGGCUUG